UAAAGGCUAGGUCCUGGCCUUGCAAUCAGCCUAGGCUACACUUACACAUGCAAGUAUCCGCCCACCCGUGAGGAUGCCCAAGUUCUCUAUUUGAGACCUCGGAGCAGGUAUCAGGCGCGAGCCCCCCUCAGCCCAUAACACCUUGUUCAGCCACACCCCCAAGGGCACUCAGCAGUGAUUAACCUUAGGCAAUAAGCGAAAGCUUGACCUAGUGGUAGCCAACAGAGCCGGUAAACCUCGUGCCAGCCACCGCGGUGAUACGGAGGGCUCAAGUUGAUCGCCGUCGGCGUAAGGUGUGGUUAGAGUAAAAACUAGAGUAAAACUAAAAGAAAACGGAGCAGUGUAACGCCAACCACCGUAUGUCGGAGAACCAGAAACGAAAGUAGUUUUAUACAUCUUGAUUCCACGAAGGCUAAGAAACAAACUGGGACUAGAUACCCCACUAUGCUUAGCUGUAAACAAUGAUGGGACCUCACACUCAACCCAUCCGCCCGGAUACUACGAGCGCAAGCUUAAAACCCAAAGGACUUGGCGGUGCUUUAGACCCAACUAGAGGAGCCUGUUCUCCAACCGACACUUCCCGUUAAACCUCACCCUUUCUCGUAACUUACAGCCUGUAUACCGCCGUCGCCAGCCUACCCUAUGAUGGACCCGCAGUGAGCUUGAACGAUAACCCUACUCCAGAAUGACAGGUCGAGGCGCAGCUUAUGAAAGGGGCUAAGAAUGGGCUACAUUCGCUUACUUCAAGCGCAUACGGAAACUUAACACUGAAAUACAUAGGUUGAAGGUGGAUCUAGCAGUAAGAGGGGAAUAGCGUGCCCCUCUGAAGCAGGCCAGAAAGCGCGCACACACCGCCCGUCACUCUCCCUUAGCCACAUACCACGGUAACAUCAUUUUAUUCCAAAAGGUUCAUGAUAACGAGGGGAGGAAAGUCGAAACAUGGUAAGUGUACCGGAAGGUGCACUUGGAUAACC
rnacentral:ncRNA from 1 species